rnacentral:rRNA from 1 species
UACGUAGGGUGCGAGCGUUGUCCGGAAUUAUUGGGCGUAAAGGGCUCGUAGGCGGUUUGUCGCGUCGGGAGUGAAAACCUCGGGCUUAACUCGGGGCUUGCUUUCGAUACGGGCAGACUGGAGGUAUGCAGGGGAGAACGGAAUUCCUGGUGUAGCGGUGAAAUGCGUAGAUAUCGGGAGGAACACCAGUGGCGAAGGCGACUUCCUGGCCUGUUCUUGACGCUGAGGCGCGAAAGCUAGGGGAGCAAACGGG